AAAAGUGUCAUCCUGACUGCUGUAAUAGUGGGUCUUGGUGGAAAGGCCACCGUCACUAACAGAGGAGUAUCAUUGAAGGGUUUCGUGAAAAAUGGUGAAAGGGGAGUCAAUCAUCCUGACUACCCCUCGGUGCUGGACUCUCUAAGCAUAGCCAACCCAGUCAUUACCAACUGUCUCAUUGACAAGAGGGGCAUAUAAUCCAUUCUCAUCAUCAAAGGGAAGGACGCAGCCAGGAGGGUGAUGCGACAAGGCCGACCCCCCAAGGAACUGUCGCGAGGCCUUCACUGUCGAAGGAGAUCAGGUUUACCGCAACCGAUACUACACCCCAGACUUCGGCAUGGCCAAAUACCUCAGGGGAGAUCUGGAGACAGAAAUUCGCAAAUUGGAGUCAGAGCUGAAGAACUACAAGGCCCAGCUCUCCCGGGUUUCAUCUUCACCUGGGCUCAGUCACUGAGGACAUCCAGCGCAUGGAGGCCAAACUACACAACACCAUCAUGGCCCUGGUAAUGUCUUGAACUGUGUUGUAAUGUGUCAGUCACUGCUGUAUAAAAUUUAAACAUUGAUGCAUUGAAUAGAUAACAGUCAGAUGCGUUGCUUCAUCACACUUAAGCACCAUCAUGACCCCAUAAUGACUGAAAAAGACUGGUAUUGUGUUGUGACUGUAAGCACGCUUGUUACAAUUGUAAUAAUUGCAUCUCAAAAAUAAAAAUGCAUUUCCUGUAUAUCAAUGCAGAGUGCUGCUGUCUGCUAUUGUGCAUGAUACACCUCUAUUUAAUGUAUGACAUAAAUGCUGUUUAACUGUUUACCUGUAUUUUUGAAUGCAGGCCACAGUGAAUCAGGUCAAGGCCAGUGUGACAGAGCUUGAGAAUGUCGAGGAGGAACAGACUGAGAACUUUAUUGAUCCAUGAUUACAAAUUAUGCUUUGAUUUCCUAUGGAGAUGAUCGAUGUUGGUUUGAUUGAUUCUGAAAAACCUUUACAUUAAAUUGACCGUGCUAACGUCAUCAAAUGCUACAGGAAGAAGUGGCUCAAGAGAACCAGCAGAGAAUCGAAUGGUGGGAAGAAAACUGUGGAGGAAGCAAAGGAGGAGCUGGAGGAGCAUGAGAAAACUACCAAGGAAGUUGAUUGCCAGUAUGUUGACGGGAGGAACAGGAUGGAACAGCUGGCUGAAGAGAUGGAGCCACUGAAGGUGAAGAGACAUUAGCGACUAACAGUACAGGGAGGUGGUGCGUCACAGUGCAAUGAGUACAUUUUUGUAUGUGUACAGUGCAUUCGGAAAGUAUUCAGAACCCAUCCCUUUUUCCACAUUUUG